AUGCUCUCGUUGGCAGCACAUACAUUAAAACUGAAAUAAUACUGAGAAGAUUAGCAUGGCCCCUGCACAAAGAUGACGGGCAAAUUCAUGAAAUAUUCCAUAUUUUG
ensembl:snRNA U6 U6 spliceosomal RNA